GCUUCGUCAAAAAGUAGUAGACAGGAAGAAUUAAAUCGUGCUACAGUUCUGGAUAAUUUUGAUGAUACACAAGUUUAUCUUUUUUAUUCAAAAGGCGAAGUAAACUAUUCUUGGCUUGAUAAAGAUCUAGGUAUUAAAGAUGUUCCAAAGAUGUCUUCUUCAGAUUUGGUGAACUAUUUGCGGUCAGAAAUAAAGGGCAAUAAAUUACAACGAUCAUUGUUAACCUGCAAAUUAUCAUGUAGGAGAUAUUUGUUCUUUCUAAUGUCAGUGACAACAAGCAAAGAUGUGGCAGAACUCAGAAGUGUGUCUCAAGAUUCUUUCAGAAAAAAUAUUUGAUAAAACUCAACAAUUCUGUAUUGAAGUGCCUGACUUACUUCUAGUCCUGAUGAAUUUUGGUACUGUUCAAAGCAACUUUUGGCCUGUGGCUUUGGACAUUUCUUUUCCUCGCCCAUUCCGGAAAUUUUCCAUGAACAGUUUCGAUUCGGAAAAACAUCAUGUCCCUUUCCCUCGCUUGAAUUUGGAGAAAAUAUUGUCUCUCUUGAGUUUCAAUGUGAAAACAUAUCCCUAUUUUUCCGAGAACGAGAAAAUUGGAAUGUGCAACCUCUUGCUAAACCUUUACAUGGCCAAUUUUAUAGCUGGAGACACUUUUCUAACUCUCAAAAUCAGAGACAUUAUAUCACAUAUACUUGAAAGUUUUACAGUAGAGGAAUGGAGGGAACUUAAUUUCAAAAUGUAUUGAAGAACUUAUUUUGCAGUGUUGGAUUGAGAACCUGUAACCUACAGCGAUGGUUCAACGAAUUACGUACAGUAUAUACCAACAACUACAAGCCGUGGAGCAACUACAAGCUGUCGGUUCAUCAGC